UACGUAGGAUCCAAGCGUUGUCCGGAUUUACUGGGUGUAAAGGGUGCGCAGGCGGACUGGUGAGUCUGGGGUGAAAUCUCGCUGCUUAACAGCGAAACUGCCUUAGAUACUAUCAGUCUUGAAUCAGCGAGAGGUUCGUGGAAUUCCGAGUGUAGCAGUGAAAUGUGUAGAUAUUCGGAAGAACACCAGUGGCGAAGGCAGCGAACUGGCGCUCGAUUGACGCUCAGGCACGAAAGCGUGGGGAGCAAACAGG
rnacentral:rRNA from 1 species